rnacentral:rRNA from 1 species
GCAUAACGCGAAGAACCUUACCCACCUUUGACAUGUACGGAAUCCUUUAGAGAUAGAGGAGUGCUCGAAAGAGAGCCGUAACACAGGUGCUGCAUGGCUGUCGUCAGCUCGUGUCGUGAGAUGUUGGGUUAAGUCCCGCAACGAGCGCAACCCUUGCCAUUAGUUGCUACAUUUAGUUGAGCACUCUAAUGGGACUGCCGGUGACAAACCGGGGGAAGGUGGGGAUGACGUCAAGUCCUCAUGGCCCUUAUAGGUGGGGCUACACACGUCAUACAAUGGCUGGUACAAAGGGUUGCCAACCCGCGAGGGGGAGCUAAUCCCAUAAAGCCAGUCGUAGUCCGGAUCGCAGUCUGCAACUCGACUGCGUGAAGUCGGAAUCGCUAGUAAUCGUGGAUCAGAAUGUCACGGUGAAUACGUUCCCGGGUCUUGUACACACCG